rnacentral:rRNA from 1 species
AGGGUUUGAUCAUGGCUCAGGACGAACGCUGGCGGCGUGCUUAACACAUGCAAGUCGAACGGUGAAAGCGGAGCUUGCUCCGCUGGAUCAGUGGCGAACGGGUGAGUAACACGUGGGCAACCUGCCCCAGACUUCGGGAUAACUCUUCGAAAGAGGCGCUAAUACCGGAUAUGAACUCUGCAGGCAUCUGCGGAGUUGGAAAGUUUUUCGGUCUGGGAUGGGCCCGCGGCCUAUCAGCUAGUUGGUGAGGUAGUGGCUCACCAAGGCGACGACGGGUAGCCGGCCUGAGAGGGCGACCGGCCACACUGGGACUGAGACACGGCCCAGACUCCUACGGGAGGCAGCAGUGGGGAAUAUUGCGCAAUGGGCGAAAGCCUGACGCAGCAACGCCGCGUGCGGGAUGAAGGCCUUCGGGUUGUAAACCGCUUUCAGCAGGGAAGAAGCGAAAGUGACGGUACCUGCAGAAGAAGCACCGGCUAACUACGUGCCAGCAGCCGCGGUAAUAC